rnacentral:rRNA from 1 species
GGGCUACCUUUAUGAAGACAGCUGAUUGACUUUUCUCAAUGAUGUAAGUGGUGGUGCAUGGUCGUUCUUAGUUCGUGGAUUGAUUUGUCUGGUCUAUUCCGAUAACGAGCGAGACCCCGACGUUCCUAAUAGGGGCGGCAGCCCGACUCGUCUGCUUGCGGACUUGUUAGCAGCCGCCUAAUUAGCUUCUUAGACGUAUCAGAGCCGAUAAGGUUCUUGAAAUGGGUUAAUAACAGGUCAGUCAUGCCCUUAGAUGUUCUGGGCCGCACGCGCGUUACAAUGGUAUACAUUAGAACGUGCUCUCAAGGGCGUUUCCGCAGCCGACGGGUUGCGGUAACCCCUAAUCUCUCCCUUGACUGGGACAGACUAUUGCAAUUAUUGGUCUCCAACGAGGAAUUUUUAGUAGUCGCAGGUCAUUAACCUGCGACGAAUGCGUCCCUGCCCUUUGAUACAGUGGAUCCCUACCUUCAUUGGUGGGGUUGAAGCUUCGGGGGGCAUAAAGGGGGGUUCUAACAAGGGCCUCCCUAGUCCGAGCCUUUCGGGGCUUAUCUCGAACUGACGAGUAUGACGGAAGCUGGUGGGAGCACUCUUCAUUGAGGGCACCCAGGCCAACUAGCAGCUGUCGGGCAACACUAGGCAAAUUGCGGGGACAUCCCAAUGUCGCUCACCUACCAACCGGGUCGCUUGAAAAGGUGCCUGGGGCCAGGGAUAAUUCCCCUGGGUAUGGUCACAACGGUGAGUGGGGGGGACUACCUGCAGCCAAGCCCUUCACUGAGCCCUUCGGGGUUCUUUAAUGGGUGCAGUUCACAGACCAAACGCCAGUGGGUGGUGAAAGGAAACCUUCGGGGAGCCUGGAUCUGCUUAAGAUAUGGUCGAUCUACUGUGGUGAAGUGAAAGCAACCUUUAAGUAGGGAGCUUGAUCGGACCCUGACGUAGUGCUAAAGGAGCCCGUCUCCUGGUGCAAUGGUAGGCUAUCAGACUAACUUU